ensembl:lncRNA
AUGUUGUGCCAUGCGGUCAGUUUAAUUCCCUUUACUGGCUUUAGGCUAGCUAUGGCAUCUCCAGGGUAUUUUGGUGACGGUCCUCCGAUGCGCGAGCGUGACCCGUACUUCACUGAGGUCAUCAGCCAGAGGAUGCGCGUGCCUGAGCGGCUGAGGUUCGGUCCAGCGCCUCACGCGCUCUCACCUGCAGACCAAAGACACGAAGAGCUCCCUGCUGCCUACAGCAUGCACAUCCCAGACAGACUGGCCUUAACAGAUGCUCCUGAUCUGAGUCCACGACCUCUCUUCACUAAGCACACUUCAUCAGUGUGGGACCUGCAGCAUGGGUCCUGGGACAGGGAGGCCUUCAUGAGGGAGCCUGUCCAGAGUCCACUGCGAAGGUCUUACAGCGACCAGGCCUUUGGUCGAACCCCACCUGGAACCCCCACACACUCCAGACAAACACUGCACUCCCAGUCUCCUGCCUCGCAGGAGUUCUGGCUCAGUCCUGAAGAGGACCCAGGUACUGCUGUCGAGUUCAUGGUGCUCCGCAGACAGGUGCUGAAGAUGAGCAGGAGGAUAGCAGGGCUGGAGAGACAGAACGCAGAGCACAGACAGACCGAGCUGCUGCUGUUCUCUCUGUUACUGUCUGCCUGUCUGAUCAACGGCUGGCUGUGGAUGCGCAGAUGACGGCUCACACUAUACAGACAGCACUAUAAGAGCAGCAGCGCUGUACAUCACUGCACAUUUUUCUAUAGAGAUUUACUCAAUUCGUUCUCAUAAAAAUGAUGGUCAGUGGAUGGUUUAGAAACCACUGUCAUUAGAAUGAGGCGUUAAUCUCUGAACCUUCCACUCAGAUGUGUCACGUGAUCACAGUAGGGACAUGGGCCACUUUGCAUUACAAGUGAUUUGAGCAUGUUUUUCACUGAUGAUGUCAUUCAGUAAUGCAGUCCCUCUGGCUCUUUUGAUCAGACUAGUAGCUAGUUUUUUGUAUUUGAUUUAUUCUGCAGAUUAAGUAAAUGCUGAGAUUUUCUGCAUGCUUUAGCAGUAUUUAUGAAAAUAUAAAUAUGAAUGUUUAUAUGUAUAUUUCAAUUUUUUCUUGCAGUUAGGCAUUCGAAUAGCCUUCAUCCUUUUUAACUCAUUUCCCCAGCCUGAUGUAUGCUGAAUAUUUAAAAUAAUAAAAGUUGUAAUUACUCUCA